GAAACUUAAUUGAAUGGCCGUAUGAUAAAAAGGCGACUACACACGUAAGGUCCCAACAGGCGUAGGAUAAAUUAAUUUAAUUAUAAAUGCUGUGCAGGCUUUGUGCAAGUCCGUCUGGGAAGUUACAAACCACUAAUCACAUAUUCUACCGCCACUAAGCCAUACUUACUAAUGUUUUCCGGCUUGAAGGUUGCGAGAGUCAGUGUAACAGCAGGCACAAGGGACAAGAUCUUAGAUUUAGAUCGAGAUUACGAUAACUCAAUUCCUUUGUGAUAAAUGAUGAAUGAAACCAUAAAAAUGUUAAGCAGAGCUCAAAGAAACUGAAGCACUCACGUAUAAUUUAAUGCAGUGACAUUCACGCAAGGCCAACGAAAGGUUGAACGUAACAUACCUCAUGACAUUAAAAAAUUAAAAGCAUUUAAUUUUUUCUAGACGAAUACAAUAGAGCAACGAUUUAAAUAAUUUUAAAACUGCAAAGAUGAAAAUUUUAGAUACGAAAAUCUUUAUAAGGGUAUAAUUUGAAAAAUGACAUAAUUCCAAACGCUAUAAGGUUCAAUUUCGUAAAUCAAUCGGUUUUGCUUAUCGCACUGAUAGCGAUAAGAUAAAUGAAAACAAAGAACUUCUCCAUCACAAUGAUAAAGCAAACAUUAUCAAAAUGCAGCGAACACUCGUCCUUGGAUGAGAUAAAAUCAAGACAUUGUGUUUAUGUGAUUUAUUACAAUAGUUAAGAUAGCUCAGUGACUUGAAUGACCCGAAGAUUCCGGAUUCAAAACAAGGCAGGAUUACCGCUCAGCUUACAUGCCAUAAAUAGAAAAAAAAGUAACUUAUGAAUAGCAAAAGAGGAGGGUAAUAUCAAGAGAACCAUAUCGUGAAAACAACUUUAUGUGUCAAAUGUUUUUCUGCUUCUACUAACCAAAUAUAAUUUGACCAGCGUGACCGAAGCUUUAAACUACUGAUA